AUGUUUAUGACAUUGCUGCUCUCCGCCUCUGUGAGAAAGAAAACACUGUUCUACAUUUUGUCGCUGCUCCUCUGCCUAUUCCAGAUGGCUUUGUUGGCAUCAGAUAUCACGUUUCACUUUAAUUUAAAAAACCAUCAUUUCCCUACUUACAGCCACACAGAGGCUAUACUGCUUUUCCAGGUUGUGAAUUUCUACUGGGCGGUACUGGCCACAACGUACUCCCUUCAGGCAGGCAAUAAGAGAAUGGGCUACUACUCUUUGGCAUCAGUCUUUUUCAACCUCAUUGUUUUUGCCUCCCGGUGCGCUUAUGAGUUCAUGAUGUUGCAGUUCAGAGCAGAGGAAUUUUGA
rnacentral:lncRNA from 1 species